UCCCUCGAGCCGGAUUUGAACCAGCGACCUAAGGAUCACCGCUUAAUUACAUCUACUGAGCUAUCGAGGG